CUCUUUCCUUCCUUUCUCUCUCUAUCAGGAGCGGAGGCGUUCUUCGGCGGGGGCAAUCUAGGGUUAGGGUUAGGGUUAGGGUUAGGGUUUCGGUGGGGAAGGGCGAAAGAGAUGGAGGAGGCGAAGGCGUACGUGGCGUGGGAGGAGGUGGUGGUGUCGAACGACAAGGGGCGGAGGGUGGUGCACUACUACCUCAAGGACGGGAGCGGCGGCGCGGAUCUCGCCGUGGUCGGGAGGGAGAGGAGCGUGCGCCACAUGUCCUACGCCGUCCCGAGCGGAUUCCUUAGGUCGCUCCUCGCCGCGCGGUCGCCGUCGCCGUCGCGCUCGCCGCCGACCCCGGAGGGCCUCUCCCUCAAGUGGCGCUCGCGGAGGGAGGUGAUCGAUUGGCUCUCUUCCCUUGUCUCAGAUUCCUUCUCUUAUGGAUUGUCUCCUGUGGUGGAUAGAUAUCAAGAUGAAGAAGUUGCUGAGCCCUCAUAUGAUCCUGCUCUAAAGGGUCAGCAACCAAUGAGAGGGGGACAUCACUCUACAGAAUUUUCAUGGCUAGGACCUUCAUGGAAUUGCAGGAAAAGGCGAAAGCAUUACCGUUCCUUCUCUCGGAGAGGAAUUACAUUUUCUGUCCAUGAUUUUGUUUAUGUAAUGGCUGAAGAAUACAAGAGGUUCAUCGCCUAUGUAGAAGAUCUAUAUGAGGACUCGAGAGCUAACAACAUGGUUGUGGUGCGAUGGUUUCACAAGGUCGAUGAGGUUGGUAUUGUUUUACCCCCGGAUGUUAAGGAGAGAGAGAUCUUCUUUACCCAUUGUCUUCAAGAUUUAAGAGUCGAAUGCAUUGAUGGAUUGGCCGCCAUCCUCAGUCCGCAGCAUUUUGAGAAGUUUCAAAAUGAGACAAGGCAAAGCAAGUGGCAACCUUUUUUAUGCCGAUACCAAAUCGAUAAUGACGAUGUGAAGCCCUUUCACAUAAGCCAAGUUCAGGGCUACUGGAGCCAGGAAGUGCUUCGGACCAUGUUCACCUCUUCUUUGAAGCUAAAACUAAAGAUUACUUGUAAUGGCUCGACUUUAGAUGGACAUAAGAGGAAGCGUAACUUGAUCAGCGACGAUAAUGAUACAUUAAAUAAACCGAGAUCUCCGGGAAUUGGUGGUAUUGCUGAAAGGCAAGUGAGAAGCGCUUCUUCUCAUCCGGGCUUGCUCAGGAAGGAGGCGCUUAAGCAGAAAAUUGAGCAAAAGCUAUCUCCAGGAAGCCAUGUGGAAGUGUUAUCUCAGGAUAGUGGGAUGAGGGGAUGUUGGUUCCGAUGUGUCAUUCUUAAGAGACACCACGAUAAGGUGAAGGUCCAAUACCAAGAUGUUAAAGAUGCUGAUGAAACUGGCAAUUUGCAGGAAUGGGUUUUGCUCUCAAGGUUUGCUGCACCUGAUAACUUGGGCAUUCGCUUAUGUGGAAGGCCUAUAGUUCGUCCACAGCCAUUACAGAGCAACCGGGUUUCAUUCAACUUCGAUGUUGGUGCUGUCGUGGAUGCUUGGUGGCACGAUGGUUGGUGGGAAGGAAUUGUGAUUCAUAAAGAUAAUGAAGGGAAAAUUCAUGUCUAUUUUCCAGGAGAAAAGCAAGUCUCUGUGUUUAACCAUGGCCACUUGAGACAUUCGCAGGAUUGGAUCAGCAAUAAAUGGAACCAUAUAAAAGACAGGAAAGAUAUGGCAAGCCUAUUGUUUUCGAACUUGGGGCCUGAGAUCAAGGGCAUUCUCCCUGAACCUAAGUUUCCAAGAACUGACGCGCAUUCUGGGGAAGUAGACCAAAAAGAAAGCUUCCCAUUGAAAGACAUUGGGAACAAGCUUGCAGCAAGUACUUCAUUUGAAGGAAAUGCUUUAGAUCUGACUAGAUAUUGUAGGCUCGAUGGCUUGAAGUGGAGGUUGUCAAAGAAAAGAAAGCGAAGGGAGUUUGCCAUUGAUGGUUCGGGCCAAAGUAAAAGGUCGGAGUCUAGCAGUGACGAUAGUAGCCAAGAAAAGAAUGAAGAGUCUAAUGGUUGUGACGAUGAUUUUGUGCUCCCAAAGUCGCUGACGGUCGAUCGUGAAAACUGCAAGAUUGGAGGAGACCCUCUCUUCAGUGCACCGAUGAUCAUUUCUAACUUGGUUAUGACUAGAUAGCAUUCAAUAGUGUUGUACAGUCCAAACUCCGUGCUGAUAUUUCGCUUUCUAAAGAUCGAAGCAGCUAUGGUGGGAUGCGGUUUUCAUGCAUCCCCAUGCUGAUUUUGCACCUGCAGUCCCAAGUGGAGCUUUUGGAGCCCGUGUGUACCUUGCUGUAUUUAUGACUUGUUUUAGAAAGCCUUAAUCUACAUCACUUAUGUCUGACCUAGCAGAGUCUUUCCGGUGAAUGCUGACCCCAAGUUUUUUUGGCCCUCAUCCUGUCCUAUUGCGGUUUGCACUUGGGAAACUACAGGAGCUCUUCGUAACAAUGCAGUACAAUUGAGUUACUAUGUGUUCGAAAUCUUCUGAUGAUUUUUCUAAAGUUUCUGAAAGGGGAUUAGAGGAGUCCACAUUUUUUUCUCUUUUUCUUAUCACUGCUCAAUGUCGCUUACCUUUUUGGCUUUUUUUUUCUUUUCUUUAUUAUGCUGGUGUGCAACAUUACUACUUUGUGUGUGGAUCUUGCUGGAGGUUUUUUUUUUUAAUUGGUUUAUUUUCUUA